GAUUCUAUGAUUCUAUGAUUCUCCCUCCAACACAGAAACAUGCAGACACUGCUCGGGACCAUACCUUACAGUGGAGCAAAUGGGAUGAAAAACCAAAACAGAGAUGUGAUGACCCCUUCUCUAGCACUGGCUUUGCAUUUCUUUUCCACCAUGUUCCUUCAGCCACCGCUGAGAAGCUCCCUAUAGCAUCACCUCAGAAUUCAGUCACUUUGAGGUUGAGUCAACAGUCCAACAACCCCAGCUGCCUCUCUUCCAGCCCUUCCCAUCCUUGUGACUUGAGGAGUUUACACGCAUCACAGCAGAGUUACAGCUGCACAGAAAUUGACUUGCCAGCAAGUUACUACUGCCUAUCAGCAGAAUUCAGCCAGUGCUGACUUCUCCAGGGAGGGAAUGGAUAAGGUCUCUCCUCUGUCCCAGCCACAGAUUGUCAUAAAACGUGCACACAUUUAACACUUCUGGAAUACUUUUGCCUUUCGGUCGUGUCCAGCUAAAAAAGAUUAAUGGUCAGAAGAUGAUGGGGGGGAGGGAAGGAGGCAAGGGGGCUGGUUUGAUAGACUGACAAAUAGACAAUGUGAUUGCAUCAGUCUCAUUUCCUAAGGAAACUAGGCUAAAAAUAAAAGGCUUUAUUUGCUCCUGGGAAUAAAGCAGAAUGUCUCUCACAUCUUUACAAAACAUUUGUUUCUAUGCAUACUUAUAAACAGUCAGGAUGGGAGAGGAAGUUUGCUCUGAGUUUCGAGAAGAAAAUUACAAGGAAGAGCUAGAGGUGCAUGAAUUUUAAAACCUGGGAUACAUUUAGGCAUACAACACAGCAAUAAAUGCAGAGUCUUGCACACUAGUGCCACAGUACUGAUAAGUCAACUGUUGGCCUGCAAACCAACUUGCCUGUUAGGCAAUUUUUCACCCCUCCACAGAAUGAAUACACUUCUUCUUCAAUGAAGAUGGAUGGUGUGCUUUAGAUCAAACCCUGCGUGCACUCCGAAGUCAGCAGACUCUCACGGAUUUUCAUCAACUGGUACCAUACUGGAGCUGUGCUUUUAUAGUCGUACUAAUGGACAAGGAACUAACUAGUUCCACAUCCUCCAGAAACCUCUGAUUGCUUGCUGUGAGACGUGACUACCAACAUAUCAUCCAAAAAAAGGGAACGGUUCAUACAGCCCAGGGGGCCUUCCAUCAUGGCAAAUUGGCUGCGUGGAAGCAUUUGUAUUGUCCAUCUCCUUUGCUUGUGCACUACCUUUUCAUUUUUGCUUCAGUGGCCUAUGCAUGGAAGCCCCUUCUUCAUGAGACGUGCUAUAAUUUCCAUUACAGGAAUACUUAGUAGUCACAGCGAACACUGUACUAAGGACUAUAUAAACAUGUCAUUAGAGGUGGUCCUUGUCCUGAAAAAUUCAUGUUCAAAAGAUGAACGAUCAGCAUAUUCUGGGGAUAAAAGGAUGCAGCACACUGCUAGAAGACAAGAAAAGCAAUAUAUAUCUCGCCUGCAGGUAUAAUUGUUCUUGCCAGGAUUUACGCUCAGCUCAGCUUCAAAUUUGUUCUUGCUUCCCCAGGAUGUUCAGCACGACUUUAGGAAUGGGAUCGCUCUGUCCCAAUGUAGAGGUCAAAAAUAUGACAUCUGAGCUCAUCCUUCUACAGUCCAUCCGCAGUCAGCCAAGAGAAUUAGGUGUUUGCAGGAGAACCACUCAUUACUACCCCCAUCUACUGAAAAUAAAUGAUGUUUCCCAUUUCAGAAUUUUGGAACCAAACAACGGUUUUCUUGAUCAUUUCUGGCACUAGCCAAAAGCUAAUGUCUCUGGUGUGGACAGGAAUUGAACUUCACAUAUGUUUUAAUGUAUGACACAAAACACGUGCCCAUGUCUGUCUUAGGUACCUCAUCUGUUGCAUGUUUUAGGAUUCCUUGGGUAACUUCUUAGAAUCAAGACUGGUAUCUUAUUUCAGCCCAACUUGCACACUGGAAACUGUUAACUGAUUCAAAAGCUUCUUAAACUUCAGAAUCAUUUACACAUUUUCAGGAAUUUUUGCAUCACGACCUUUAAAGGAAAGUACAAAGAUUAGAAAAAAAAUGAAAUAAAUGGUAAUUAAAGCAGCUGAUUUUUUUAGCUUGAUAGCAAAACCUGUGUAGUUUCACUCAACGACAGUAAUAUCUGAGUCAAGCCCUGUCAGGAGAUUCUGUUGGUUGAUGUGGUUACAAACCAACAGCUGCGUAUUGAGAAAGCAAGAAAACUGAAGUCCUUACAAAAGCAUAAGUCUUCCAUGUAUCUCUAGUACUUCUCUGUCUCUGUCUCUCUUUCUGUCUCACUCUCUCUCUCCACAUUACUGAUAUUCAGUCAACCCACAGAGCAGAAAGUGUAUUUCCUAAGAUCUUCAGAUAGUCACACACAUUUACGUCUGUACAGAUAACUGAUUUGUAAUAUAUGAGCGACACUGUCAAUUUCAUUUUUAUUCAUUUGUUAUAAACAGUCUCAAAUAAAGUAUGUCAAAGCCUUGGAAAACUAGCGUCUUUCCUUAUAACACAAGGAGCUACGGCAAUAUCACACACAGAAUCACUGGGGUUGGAAGGGAACUCUGGGGACUAGCACACUCCCUGCUAAAGCAGGUUCCCUGCAGUGGGUUGCACAGGAAAGCAUCCAGGGAGGAUUUUGAAUACCUCUAGAGAAGGAGACUCCACAACCUCUCUGGGCAGCCUGUUCCAGUGCUCUGUCACCCUCACAGUACAGAAGUUCUUCCUCGUGUUGGUAUGGAAUUUCCUGUACUGCAGCUUUUGCCCAUUAUCCCUUGUCCUGUAACUGCACAUCACCAAAAAGAGCCUGGCCUCAUUGAUUUGACUCCCACCUUUUAGGUAUUUAUAAAUAGUGAUGAGAUCCCCUCUCAUCCUACUCUUCUCCAGGCUGAACAGCCCCAGGUCUCUCAGCCUUUCCUCAAUAGUGUAGAUGCUCCAGGCCCCUCAUCUUCUUUGCAGGCCUCUGCUGGAUUCUCUCAAGAAGUUCCCUCUCUUCCUCUCGUUCUCGAACUGGGGAGCCACAGUACCUCAGAGUGGCACACUGCUGGCUGAAGGCCAAACUGUUGUCCACUAGAACACUUAAGUCCUUCCCCACAGAGCUCCUUUCCAGCAGGUCAGCCCCUCAUCUGUACUGAUACAUGCAGUUAUUUCUUCCCAGGUACGGGAUCCCGUGCUUGUUCUUGCUGAAGCUCAUCAGGUUUCUCUCUGCCCAACUCACAGGUCUGUCCAGGUCCUGUUGAACAGUAGCACAGCCAUCUGGUGUGUGUAUGUGUCGCUGGCGCAGCUUGUCAACGCUGCUGUUAUAGCAUUACCUCCAAGUGGUCAUACAUGCAGGUGACACUGCACAUACAUUCAGAGUGAACUGAAUGGCUGCUUCACAUCCUGCUCACUGAGUACACAGAAACUGCUCCCGAAAGCAGUGCUCUCUGUAGGGUGUAACUACCAGGUUAUCGAGCAAAUGAGAACGGUUAUCUUAUCUUAUGGUGAUGUGUACAUUUGCCAGUCUCAUUUUUCUGCUCGUUUUUCUUAGCCUGAGCUAGUGUGUUCCAUAACUCAGCUAAUUCCUAUCUAGAGAGUAUCCUGGAGCAGCUUUCUUCACUCUGAAGCUAAAACACUGCAUUCACCAACAGCACUGACUGGGUCUGCAUCUUUAAUAUCUUCACUGUGACCACAGCAGAUAAACAAAGAUAUGGGCAGAUACAGUGACCUGUUGUUUUUCCCCUUUACUUCCUUGUACCAAGGAUUUUGGCUUGCUUGUUUUAAGACACUGAAAAUGAUAUACUUCUAAUGCAGCUGAUUGCAACAAACACUGCGGGGGAGGAUGGAGGGAGGAUUCAGUUGGUAAGAGAUAGUGGAGUUUUUUUUAGCAGAUAAAUAUUGUAGUGCAUUUGCCCUGUCUUUGAAUCACAUUAAAUAUACACACUCUUAAAACACUAUUGAAAUGUUUGAAUGCCAGUGUUGCAAAUGAAAAUCAAUAGCAUGCUAUUAGGCUCAUUAUAUUGCUGCUAUGCAUCAUUAAAAUGUAUUUUAAAAGCUUUCAACAUAAAACAGGAGAUGGGAUGAAUAAGAAGAUGCUUUGAGGAAAUGCAGCACACUUAGAGACGGCCACAGGAGAAACUCUGUAGGCAGUUGGAAAGAAAGCCCUGUAAGGAGCUCAGUAGGUAUAGGAAGUAAAUGGGAACGCUACAAAACGAAUGGGACAAAACCCUGAUACAGACAAAUCAGUGGAGCUUCACCAUUGCUGGAGGAAAGCAAAAUCAUCAAAUACUUAUUAGAUACAUUUGCAAUGUGAGGUUCUCU
ensembl:lncRNA